rnacentral:lncRNA from 1 species
CAGAGGUCAUUGAACGGAUCCAGGGGCUGGACAUCGAGACCCAGACUGCGCUGGCCGGUGCCAUCCAGGAGGUGACACAGGACCCGGGGGUGGUGCUGAGCCUGCAGUGGGGGGCACUGGCUGAACUGCACCCACUGGAGCUGACACGGGUCCUGCAGGAGCUGUCCUCCCGGCUGCGGGGCCUGGUGCAGGAGCGGGAUGCGAGUGCAGAGAGGCUGUGGGAGCUGCAGCAGGAGCGGGAGGUGUCGUCCCCGCAUGGCCCGCUGUCCCCUGAGGGGCCCUGGGACAAUCGCCAGCACCUUGGGGUGCAACUGGCUGACGCUCGGGGCCAGGCCCGGCGCCUGCGCCAGGAACUGUGAGUGGGUGGGGGGCACUGAUGGGAAUGGGGUGGUUCUGGGAUGGGAGAACAGUUCGGGGGGGAGGUCCUAGGGGUAUUAGGGGGCACAGAAGACAAGAGGGGGAUCCUGAGAUG